rnacentral:rRNA from 1 species
AUUGAACGCUGGCGGCAUGCCUUACACAUGCAAGUCGAACGGCAGCGGACCUUCGGGUGCCGGCGAGUGGCGAACGGGUGAGUAAUGCAUCGGAACGUACCUUUCAGUGGGGGAUAACGUAGCGAAAGUUACGCUAAUACCGCAUAUUCUGUGAGAAGGAAAGCAGGGGAUCGCAAGACCUUGCGCUGAUUGAGCGGCCGAUGUCAGAUUAGCUAGUUGGUGAGGUAAAGGCUCACCAAGGCGACGAUCUGUGGCGGGUCUGAGAGGAUGAUCCGCCACACUGGGACUGAGACACGGCCCAGGCUCCUACGGGAGGCAGCAGUGGGGAAUUUUGGACAAUGGGGGCAACCCUGAUCCAGCCAUGCCGCGUGAGUGAAGAAGGCCUUCGGGUUGUAAAGCUCUUUCGGCCGGGAAGAAAUCGCACAGGCUAAUACCUUGUGUGGAUGACGGUACCGGAAUAAGAAGCACCGGCUAACUACGUGCCAGCCGCCGCCGUAAGAC